UACGUAGGGCGCAAGCGUUGUCCGGAAUUAUUGGGCGUAAAGAGCUCGUAGGCGGUCUGUCGCGUCUGCCGUGAAAACCCGAGGCUUAACCUCGGGCCUGCGGUGGAUACGGGCAGACUAGAGGUAGGUAGGGGAGAAUGGAAUUCCCGGUGUAGCGGUGAAAUGCGCAGAUAUCGGGAGGAACACCGGUGGCGAAGGCGGGUCUCUGGGCCGUAACUGACGCUGAGGAGCGAAAGCGUGGGGAGCGAACAGG
rnacentral:rRNA from 1 species